GAGAGACGAGGUAAUGAGCAGCCCAAAUUAUGUUUAAAGCAGCGGUUCUCAAACCUGAAGGACUUGUUAAAACAUUCUAGGAGAGACCUCUGAGGGUUUUUUUUUUUCUAAUUAAGUUUAUUGGUGCAUUUUAGGUGUAAAUUAUGAUCACAUGCAUCAUAGGGAAUUUGUGUCUGUAUAUGAUAUAUCUUGUUUUUGUUUUGGUGCCAGGGAUCAAACUCAGGAUCUUGUGGUUGCCAGGCAGGUGCUAAGCUACAUCCCCAGCUGUAUAAGGUGUAUCUUGGUUCUUACUUUUUCCCCAUUCCUCUUCCCUCCCUUCAGCUCCUCCAUCCCUCCAUAUUUACAAAAGCCUUGUCUCCAUUUUUUCCUUCUCAGUUUUUCUUUCCCUCGGCUCCCUCCUAGUUCCCCUUUUAACAUUUUCUUAUUUCCCGAAAAAUAUGGACUGCUUCAUGAAUUUGCAUCUCAUCCUUGCUCAGGGUCCACUCUAAUCUCUGUAUCAUUGCAAUUUUAGUGUAUGUGCUGCUGAAUCUAGCACCCCCAAGUUUCUUCAGUAAAUUUGGGGGUGAGGCCUCAAUUAGUGUUUCUAACAGGGCCACAGGUGAAGCUGUUGCUCCUGGUUUAGGGAACAUACUUUGAGAGCCACUGUUUAGGACAUCAAGAAAAAAAUUGGAAAGAUUUGGUAUUUCACACAAAGCUUUGAAGUACUUAUGGGGCAAAUCAGAAACUUGGGCUUCAUUACCUUUAGGGUUUGUUGUGAUUUUUAAAGCUUAUUUUUGGACACAUAAUAUUUGUAUGUAUUUGUGGAGUACUGUACAAUUUUGAUACAUGUAUACAAUGUUUAAUGACCAAAUCAUGCUAUUUUCUAUAUCAUCAAUCAUUUCUACGUAUUGGUAACUCAUGCUUUUCUAGUUAUUUGAAAAUACAGAUUUUUGUAGCCUAUUAGACUAUUGAACACCAGAACUAAUUUCUUCUAUGUGACUGUGUUUUCUCCCCGAUCUAAUCUCUCUGCAUUGUUCUUCAUCUCCUUCCUGGUCUCUAUUCCACUUUUUUGAUACCAAUUUUUUAGUUUCUACAAAUGAGCAAGAACAUGGAGUAUUUGCUUCAUGUGCCUGGCUUAUUUCACUUAACAUGAUGUCCUCCAAAGUGUGAUUUUUAAAAAUAUUUCAAAUUGUAUUUGAGGAGGGACAUAAAACUACCAUAAUUCUUUCAUUGGUAGAGCUAGCAGUCCUAAGCUCUAUAUGAACCCCCAAGCCAAAGCAUUUCUUUAUAUAAACUUCAGCUUUCAACCCCCUAUGAUAAUGUCUCCUUCAUGUGGAUUUUCCCUGUGGGUCUUGUAGUAGCCCACAACAAAAUACCAUGUGGAGAAUAGCAAAAUCUCUCAUGCUCAAAUCUCACUUUUCUCGACAAAAAGCCAUAGGACAGAAAUACUGUUUGUCUUGUCUUCCAGAUCGAUAGGCAGAUAUAUUUUGAAAGUUCAAGCCUAUGACAGAAAACCUGACACACAUGGCAUGCAAAUACAGAGGACCUGCCAGGGUUAUAGAAAUGAAGUGCUUUUGUUUUUGUAUAAAUUUUCCAUUUGUUCUUGCACUUUGUGCUGUCUACCAUCCCAGGAAAUACUUCUAUUUUAAAUGGAGGAAAUCAGGAGCAGGAAGCUUUCAAACAUGCCCAGAACCAUACAGCUCAUGAGGUAUAUGAAGUGAAGGCGCGUGGCUUCCAAACUCUGCAUUCUUUUCUUCAGAACAUAUUGUAAUUCAAAUGCCAGAACACUGGAUCUAAAGGGAAGAAAGGAUUUGAUAUUUUUAACCCUGUAAAGUAGAAUGUAAAAAAGACAACAAUUUCCAAGUCCAUGAAGCAGUUACCAUGUAGUUAGAAAUCAGAUGCAAUUUAUGAUACCUAAGGAAAGAACAAUAGGGAAAUGAAAUAGAGAAGUAGAAAAGGUUUAAGGUAAAACAUCUGAAUAGUUAGCUAACAGUCAGGGUCAGAAAGAAAUUCUAUUGGCCCUUAAAAGAAGACGGGGCAGAAAACUCAUGGGUUCCGUUAAAUCCUACUGUGUUACAAGCCACUCCCAAAAUGUAGUGGCUUAAAAACAAAGUGUGUUUGCUCACAGUUCUCUGGGUUAGAGGUGCGGAUGGGUGAGUGAGGAUGGCUGUUUCCGCUCCGUGUGUUGACGGGGGUGCCUCAGCUGGAAGAUCUAAGACAUCUUCAUCUGGGCCCGGUGCCGCUGGGUGGGACCCCUGGGACCCCUCCCACCCCGUGUGGCGACCAGGUGGGAAGACUGAGGCCUAAUUGGCCUCUUCGGCCAGCACUGAGAGGAAAAGGGGGAUCCAAGCGAGCUAACACGCCGCAGGGAGAAGUAGAAACACCGGAGGGUAGGUUGUUUACCCGGAGAAGUACCGUGGGGUUGGAGACAGAUGGAUUCUGUGAACUGUAAUUGCUCUGCCCGUGUCUGGGUGAAUAAAGCCAAGGUGGCCAGUGGCUUGCGGCUCUAUAUCGAAGGGAGACGUGAGCUCUCUGGCCUCCCAGAUUUUAACCUGUUUCUGUGUCUCUAUUUUUCAUUCUUAUCACCCCUUGGCCAGGUUCGAGCUCAGCUGGUGGGCUGGUUCCUGCCCUCCCAUCCCUCUGGUCUUGAGAAAGUAGCCCAGCUUGAGCAUUUUUCACGUGAUACGUUUGUGAGAGCGUGAAAAGGGUCACGCAGCCUUCUGUGGUGUCAGUUAAAGCAAGUCACUGGGCCAGCCUGGGUUCAAAGUGAUGGGAAACCUACUCUACUCUUGAGGGGAGAAGGGUACAAGCUCGCUGCGAAAAAAAAAAGGGGGCACGGUUAGGCUGAGUAAAAGAAGCCAGACAGGGCUGGGGAUUUGAUUUAGCUCAGUGGUUCUGUCUGCCCUGUAAGUGCAAGGACCCGGGUUCAAUCCCGGUACAAAAAAAAGCUAGCCACAAAAGAGUGCAUUGUUUGAUUAUAUGAAAUUCUAGAAAAGGCAAACUAAUAGAUAGUGGCGGAAAGUAAAUCACUGGUUGCUCAAGGCUGGAAAGAAGGGAUUGCUAGCAAAGGGGGAUGAGGGAAAUUGAGGGCGUAGUGGCUAUACCCCACACCUUGAGUGGUAAUAUAUACAGAGAUGUACACGUUUGUGAAAGUGCAUGAUUUUACAGUAAUUAGGUAAAUAUCUUAAAAAUAAGAUCGGAAAUGGGAAGGAUUGUUGAGACCAUCUUCAGAAAUAACCAUAUGUGAAAGCUUAGAUCUGAAAGGACAUUAGAAGAUCUUCUGGUCCAAUGUCCUACAAAUAAGGAAAGAGAGGCCCAGAGAGAGCAACUUGCCAACUUAGGGAGUCAGUAACAAAACUAGGAUUGGAAUCUAGACUAACCACAGCCUUGCUGUCAUUCCUCCCAAACCCUCUGAAAUCAGGGAAAGGACACCCUAGGCUCGCAUCAACAAGACUCCCCUACAUAUAAGAGCUGGGCCACACGAACUGUUAGUGUCCUUUUGCACUUUAUAAGCUUUUAGGGUUUUUGUCUGUUUUGUGAUGGGGCUCAAACUGAGGGUCUUCUACGUGCUAGUCAAAUGCUCUGCCACUGAGCUACAUCCCUAGCCCUUAGUGUGAAAAGUUAGGAGCAGAGACUGUUGUGCUCUGUUCCUCAUCCUGAGACACUAACUGCUCUGAGUUGGUGUGUCUAAUCCAGGUGACUGGAGCAGUGUUUAUAAAUAGAACACUGAGGGGCGGGGGGAAGAAGAGCAGCUAUGCCAUAGCCACCUGUUUUCCACAGUGCUAUUUUGAGUUUCUCAGGGCCUUGGCAGGAAAGGACAUGGAGGGCUAUGGAACUAUUGAGGCAUUAUUAAAUUUUACAAAGUUAAUAAACUUGUAAAGUGAGAAUUGUUGCCAGGUUUUAUAAAGUGCUUCAUAGAGUAGGUAGAAUUGAACUAAGAAAUAGUAUUGCAACCAAUAGUAAUACAGCAUGCAAAUGUAGCAUGUAGGGAAUUUUUAAAAAGUGAAGAGAGUCCACUUUUAACAUACUUUCUUUGCUCAAAAAAGCAAUUUGAACUUUAUCCAAGUGUCUCAGACAUUUAUCAGAUGUAUUCAACUUCUUUGGAUACCAAAGAACGUUUUAAAAACUACAAGAGAUGCCAGAAUGCUGUCAGCUGAAAUUAUUUGCUUGCUGGUACAUCAGAGAGUAAUACCCUGCUGGUCUGGGGCAAUUACCUAGAGAACAAUGGAUUUGAACUGAGAAUGGAAUCUGAACUUUUUUCUGCAGAAAGUCACAUGUGAAAAUUGAAUGAUUCAACGGGAUAAGGUUUUUUCAAGAAAACAUCCUCCUUACAGAUUUCUGAAGCUUGGGUUUUUCAUGUUUUGGGUGGUUUCCCUGUUUUUCUAAUACCUAUAUUUAAAAAUUAAGUAGUAAACAUUCUAUUAAAUGAGGAAGGGGGAUACUGACGUGAGUCUUCGAUUUGUGGCUUAUGUCUCAUAGCUGUUGGUAGGAAGGAGCUUGUUCUUUUACAAAUGUGAAAUGCAGUUCCGGCAUAACUACAGGCCCAACACUAACUCCAGGUGGAAAGUGGCACAUUCAUGGAAAUAAUUCCAGCCAAAAAAACUUGCUCUUGUUUGCAUUACCUCAGCUGGUUAGGGCUUUGAUUACUGAAUGCUUUCAGUUGGGUUAAAGACAAAAACACAAUGGGAUUCAAAGGAAUCAGCUCAAGGCUGAGAAUUUAAUAAUCCCAAAACAUUUAGCUUAGUUUAAGCCAGAAGGUCCUUAUUAAAGACGUUUUAAAAAGUUAACGUUUCAACUCUGUGCCUCAUUAUGAAAUAGCUGGCCUACUCAACAUGUAGCAUUUAUUUAUAAACCUAGGCAGGCUUUACUUCAUAAAUGCACAUUCAGGUCGGGCUUUUUUCAAUACCAUUGUGAACCACGUAUGGAUUAUCAGUACUACCUCAGGGAUGCAGAAGCCCUGCAUGACGUAAGACUCAUGAUGGAUGUGAAAUAAGACUGCUAGGUCUUCUAGAGCCCUGCCUGGCCUCCAUGUCCCCCAUCCCUGCCAUUCCUCUGAGAACCAAUGGUUUCAGUCACCUCCUGUUUUACCACAUUGGUAUGGACGGAUUUCCCCAUUGGGCUCAUGGGAUUGGCCAGGCGAGCUUGACGGUGGUUUAUUAGUUGCUUAUAUACUCAUAGUGGGGGAGAAGGGAUACCCACACAAGCAAAAUGGUGGCUGAUGUGGACACAGAAUGAGCAGUAGGGGCUAUGGGAAGCAGGCUCUGUAGUAUCUAAAAGGUAAGGAACCUGUGGUUUCCAUGGGAGGAGGUGACUGGCCUGUUUGAAUUCCACAGGCUGACAGGACCUGAAAGCCAGUUUUCUGGGUGAGCAGGCACAGUACCUGGUCCACUCAAUGAGGAGGGUUGUUUGGCUCGGGGACCUUAUCCCUUUGUCCACUGGAGCAGAGGGGAAGAGAACUUUGCACUAGGCCAUUUGAGACUCCCUUGGUUUCCCCAGAUGUUGGGGUAUACAUAAUACUGGGCCUCAAUUUUAGGCCGUAUUCCACAAGUCAAGCUGGACAUUUUUUCUAGAUCAUCAUCUGCUAAACCCUCUUCUAACUGGGAGGGGAAAAAAAGAUAGGCAAAGCAUGCAGGCCAAACCUUUUAUUAUUUUCAACUAGUCGCCAAACAAAUGUCCACGACGUGUCUUUGGGUAGUGGUGCUAGACUAGGCACAGAAACUUGAAGAAUGGGCCACAUCCCUAUAAAAGGGGUCAAAUACAGAAGCUAGAAGGCCCAAGCAGACGAUGGUACAGAGGGGUGAGAGCAGGGACAAAGACCGUGCACGUGCUGCACGAGUGAAGUAAGGGAGGCGGCCCGUCCCACCUGGGCAUGCUGAAGGGCUGCGAGGGGCAGGGGCAGUGGCCCUGAGCUGGCUUGAAAAUGAGCCGGAGUUUGCCAGUCAGGAGAGGGACGGGAGUGUCGUCGCAGGAGGGCAGCCUGGGACUGUUGGGAGUGUCCUCUCGGGAGGUGUCUGCUCCUCUCACCCGACCCCUCUUGCCACUUUCUCCCCCAGGCAUCUCCUCGUAUUUGCAGAAUCAGAUUCUGCCCUCGUAUUUAUCGAUCACGGUCACGGUUGCUGGGGAAGGGGAAGCAGGAGGGGUGAGGAAAACGUGCCCAGGGGACUGAGGAAAUGAGGAUGAAGCGCCCUCCCAGGACAUCUUACCUACCAGAGGCUGCCGGGUGCAGCCAAGAAGUUUUACUAAAAUUUCCACUUUGCGGAUGAGGAAAGUCUCAGAGGACAUAAGAAACUUGCCCCGCAAGGAGUCAAACCUUGGGUACCUCACUUUUCCUCUGGCACCCUAACUGUUUUCUGCUCAAGACUGAGAUCCGGGCCAGCAGUCACUCGUUCCGGGAGCCUUCACAAAAUUCAAGUGGAUUUGUAAUAAAUAUCUGUUCGAUCAUCUCAGCCAAUCAUUCAGGUAUCAAUGUCGUACAGCAGAGACCACCUUAGGCCAAGAGUUGAAGGCUAUUUGCCAAUAUUUUCCUAGCUCACCCUAGGGACUGACCAUGUGUGAUUAUCCAGUAACCGGGUAAGGAAAAGGGAUGGCGCCCAGACUCGUCAAGGUAGGGAAAGUUGAGACUGAAAUGUAGAAAAGUCACUGGCUAGCUUACGCACAAUAGAAACUUAUCUCUCUCAGUGGUGUGGAGGCUGGGAGUCCAGGGUCCGGGUCCCAGAAUGCUUGGGCUCUGCUGAGGACCCUCUUCCGGGCUGCUAACAGCCAUUUUUUCAUCAUUCCCUUAUGAAGCGGAGAGGCUGCUCCUGGACCCCUGUUAUGAGCACACUAAUCCUGUUCCCUAGGGCUCCACCAUCUAAAACCAUCACAUUGAGGUUUAGGGUUUCAGUGUAGGGAUUUUGAGGGGUCAGAAACAUUCAGUUUAUAACAAUGAGAAAUCAAACAAUUCCUGGCAUUACAGUGAAAUUAUUGUACAAAACUUCUCGAAACCACAAGAAAACUGAUAUAAGAUGUUCCCUGCGGGCCCAGGGAAGCAACUGCCCAUUUAAACACACCCCAUCCCAUCACAGCUGCUGAGAUGGAGAUGUGACUGGAAUGGAACAGUGGGACCAGAAAGGCUUUAAAUCAGAUUCUGUCAUUAACUGUUGCAUGAUAAUAAACAAUAUAAUAAGUGUUGAGUGAGUGAACAAUGGCCAGUGCUGUGGUAAUUUUAAAAAAACCACAGAGAUCAAAUUCAACCCACUAAUAUGUUCCCCCUUUUCCUCUGCCAAGCUGAGCAGUAAAUCCCUUUUCAGGAGCUAGUUAAUUUCUUCCCAGUGACUAUGCUUUUACAUCCAACUCACUGGAUAUUUUGUUGAGUAGAGAAGUCAAACGCCAAGGUCCACAAGCCAACAUUUCAAAAGGAGUCCUAGGGCCAGGCAUUUAGCUCAGUGGUGCCGCUGCCUGCCUCACAAGCACGAGGUCCUGAGUUCGAUCCCUGGUACCAGAAAAAACCCAAAACAAAAAGGGUCCUCAUUUAGCCCAGUGUGUCUACACAAACCCUUUGAAUGCUGCUUCUCUAGGUCCCUCAAAUGGUAGUAACAGUAGUAGGAGUGGUAGUGAUAUCAGCUAACAUUUUACAUCAUGCUUUUUAUGUGUUAGUAACUGUAAUAGGAGUUUUCUAUGUAUUAAAUUCUCAGCAAUUCAGCAAGGCAAGUAUUAAACUGUCAAUCUCAUCAUUCAACUUUGUAGAUGAAACUGAGACACAGCAGUGAGGAGGUUUGUCUGUGGCUAUUUGUAGGAGUCAGGAUGCUGAGCCGUGGUUCUCAACCUUGAUCGCACUAGAGAGCUUAUUCAACUUUGAUGCCCCAAACUCAACCAGUGUCCCCUGCUCACAAUCCAGACUUUAAUUUAAUUGACAUGGAAUGUUUUUAACACUGUUGGAUGAUUCUAAUGAGCUGUCAAGGUUGGGACACUGGGUUUUUUAGGCUUGGCAUUUUAGCUUCGCAUCACCAUCACACAGCCAAUGGGAAACACUUGAGCUGAUACACCUGGCUAAAGGAGCAGCCAAUAGGAGAAUUCCUCGGAAUGAAGUAGUGACAAACGGGGUGGACAUUUAGCUAUCCACAAGGUCUCAAGCAAUUGACUCAAAGCAAAGCGUGUGAAGAAGUGCUUUGUUUUCUUCCAGCACAAUGAGUCUAUGGAGUCAAAUAUAUUAAACCCUUGAUUAUUAAUGAGUGAUCCAUAGAAAAUGUUUAAUCUGAGAUCCAGGCUCCUAAAGGAAACUUCUUACCAACUGGUACAGUAUAUAUUCAAAGAAUGCACAUUAGUUUUAUUUUUAAUCUAAGUGGAACAUGAGAGGGGAAGAAAUCGUGUGUAUACAUGUGAAAAUCAUUCAAAGGAUAAAUUAAAUGAUUUGGAGGGAUUAUCUGCUGUUUCGGAUUACACACAUCACUGCCCCCUCCAAUGGCGCUGACCACUGAAAGCCGCCUGUGUUCUGAUUGCUGACAGCUGAAGGAUCCGUGUUGCCAAGGAACCUCUGGCCACGUGCCAAAUAACAACCUGAUUAAUUAUCCUUCCCUUUGUGCUGUCCCAGCAGGCAAUCUUCCCUCACCGCACUGGUGUCCAGUUUCAGGAGCAUAGAAGAGAAGGGUAAAUCCCCAAAAUGAACAUCCCCAAGUCUUGAGGCAGCAGAUACAUCAGACAGACUUUCCUCUUCUUCAGGUGCUCUGCUUCCGGGUUUACCUGUCCAUAGCAAAGCCAAUCACGAUAUCCAGAAGGAUCUCAGUCACGCUGGCUUCCCAAACGGAGUUUCGGCAAAAUGCUCUUCAAUCGGGUGCAUACAGAGGUCACCCAAAAUAUUAUGUCGGAGACCCCAAGACGAACAAGUUUCCACGACCCAGUGGCCCACCCAGGGACCUGAAUCCGUGGUGGCUUUGUGCUGCCCGGCUUCAGCUCGUGGCUGUGCUUGGUAUUUUAGUUGGGAGUGCCAUUCAGAGCUCUGACAGCCAAUGACUGGCUUUGAUAAAGAGAUGCGUCACUGAGCUGGUGUCGCUAUGUAGCCUAUGACUCCAAGGGCAGGGGCCUCAGCAGGCCAGAGGCGUGCUCAGCCUUGCUACACAACCGGAAGGAGUGCCCCUGGCCACGGAGAGGUGCCCACGAGACCCAAGGGUUACUUCCCUCCUUGGCGAUGUGCAGUGCAGCUGGCAAUGGCUCCCUGUCUACAACUCGGCGGACUCGGCACGGAGGUCUGUCGGUCUCUGAGCGUUGUCUGCUGGAUCUUUUUUGGGUGUACCUGCCGGGCUUAGCUCUGUGCUUGUCAGCAGGAGCCUCCCAAUGCCGAGCCUCCGUGGUCGCCUCUGGAAACACCCGGGAAGGGGGCUGGGUUGCCUCACCACUAGGCCCUUCCUCUGCCCCCACAGGGUUCGCGUCUUUCCGUCUUGGCAGUUAGUCGCACCUAAGGCUUUUGCUCCAUCCCAGGCCUGGCUUUGACUCAGCUGUAGCGAUUAUUUCCCUGAGAACCAGUCUGAUUUUACGUAAAUAUCAAACAAAUCUUUUAAGAGGAGGGUCUCAUCCUGAAGGUAGCUGGAGGGAGAGAAAUCCCCUCUUAGAACUUGGCCUUUGAAGUAGAUUCUGACAGCAACCUCGCUUCGAGCUUUUCAUGAAUACGGUUGUAAAUUGAUUUGGGGGUUUGUCCUCACGGGCUGGGAAACAGUUUUCCUGGGUGGGCUGCCUCGGUGUAGUUGCUAUUUCAAGCUGGCGCUUUCAGGAGCUGCCCUCCAGUGAGAUCUUACCCAUGCUCCCUGAGGUCAAUAAAAACCCGAGCCUGUGUUUCUGUUAGUCAAAUAGGUGAGUGCUGAGAGAUGGGACACUCACUGGCUUAGGAAUAAAUUUGUGCCUAAACCACCUAAACGGACAUCUCGGCUAUCUAAAUCACAGGUGCUGGCUGUGCCUGCCUACGGAUAAGUUUUAAUGCCUUUCUUCUAAAGGACUAUUUAGUCUUUAGAAAACACAUUGAUUUUUGAAAUAACAUAGCCUAAUAAAAGAACUUCAGCCUAGUCUACAAUUGCUUCACUGGUCUGCACAAGCCGUAGAUUUUCUGGGAUAUAAAAUACCAACUUGACAUUCUCUUUAUCUGUUCACUAAAUUAUUUUAUAACUUUAUCUGUUGCCCUAAGAUUAUUGUUGAAAAAUACAGAGAACUAUUAUGUUCUUACUAGUCAUUGAAAGGAUGUAAACUGGAACUAGAAUAUGAUUUUCACCCAAUAAAUAGUCCAGGAAGCUAAUGCUGUCCCAUAU
rnacentral:lncRNA from 1 species